UGGUCAAGUUAUUAAGGGUGCAGGGCGGAUGCCUUGGCACUAGGAGCCGAUGAAGGACGUGAUAAGCUGCGAUAAGCUUCGGGGAGUUGCACGUAAACUUUGAUCCGAAGAUUUCCGAAUGAGGAAACUCACUUAGAGUAAUGUCUAAGUAUCAUUAAGUGAAUACAUAGCUUAAUGAGGGGAACUCAGGGAACUGAAACAUCUAAGUACCUGAAGGAAGAGAAAGAAAUUCGAUUCCGUAAGUAGCGGCGAGCGAACGCGGAUUAGCCCAAACCAAUAAAGUUUUCUUUAUUGGGGUUGCGGACAUAUCAUAACGAAGAGGUAUCGUAAUUGAAGAGGUUUGGAAAGACCCACCACAGAAGGUAAUAGUCCUGUAUGUUAAACGAGAAGACUUUAGAUAUGAUCCAGAGUACCACGGGACACGUGAAACCCUGUGGGAAGCAGGAGGGACCACCCUCCAAGGCUAAAUACUACCUAGUGACCGAUAGCGUAUAGUACCGUGAGGGAAAGGUGAAAAGAACCCCGGGAGGGGAGUGAAAUAGAACCUGAAACCCUGCACUUACAAGCUGUGGAAGCACAUUUCUUGUGUGACCGCGUACUUUUUGUAGAACGGGCCAACGAGUUACGUUAAGUAGCAAGGUUAAGCACUUAAGGUGUGGAGCCGUAGCGAAAGCGAGUUUUAACUGAGCGUUCAGUUACUUGACGUAGACCCGAAACCGGGCGACCUACCCAUGAGCAGGAUGAAGCGAAAGUAAAAUUUCGUGGAGGUCCGAACCCACGAGCGUUGAAAAGCUCGGGGAUGACUUGUGGGUAGCGGUGAAAUUCCAAUCGAGCCCGGAGAUAGCUGGUUCUCCCCGAAAUAGCUUUAGGGCUAGCCUCAAGGUGAGAGAUACGGAGGUAGAGCACUGAAUGUCCUAGGGGGUAUUGCACCUACCGAAGACUAUCAAACUCCGAAUGCCGUCAUCUUAUACUUGGGAGUCAGACUGUGGGUGAUAAGAUUCAUAGUCGAAAGGGCAACAGCCCAGAUCGUCAGCUAAGGUCCCUAAAUGUAAGUUAAGUGGUAAAGGAUGUGGGAUUGCACAGACAACCAGGAUGUUGGCUUAGAAGCAGCCACUCAUUCAAAGAGUGCGUAAUAGCUCACUGGUCGAGUGAUCCUGCGCCGAAGAUUUCCGGGGCUAAAACUUACUACCGAAGCUACGGCAUCAGUAAUGAUGGGUAGGGGAGCUUCCCAUACGGGUUGAAGCAUGACCGUAAGGACAUGUGGACAGUAUGGGAGUGAGAAUGUUGGCAUGAGUAGCGAGAUGUGGGUGAGAAUCCCACAGGCCGUAAACCCAAGGUUUCCAGGGGAAGGUUCGUCCGCCCUGGGUUAGUCGGGACCUAAGCUGAGGCCGAAAGGCGUAGGUGAUGGACAACAGGUUGAUAUUCCUGUACUACCGAUAACCGUUUGAGAGAAGGGAUGACACAGUAGGAUAAGCUAAGCACACUGUUGGUUAUGUGUGCCCAAGCAUUGAGGCAGUCAAAGUAGGCAAAUCCGCUUUGAUAAUGCUGGGAUGUGAUGGGGAGCGAAAUUUAGUAGCGAAGUAGCUGAUUUCACACUGUCAAGAAAAGUCUCUAUCGAGGUUAAAGGUACCCGUACCGCAAACCGACACAGGUGGGUGAGGAGAGUAUCCUAAGGCCAGCGAGAGAACUGUUGUUAAGGAACUCGGCAAAAUGACCCCGUAACUUAGGGAUAAGGGGUGCCACCAUCAGGUGGCCGCAGAGAAUAGGCCCAAGCGACUGUUUACCAAAAACAUAGGUUUCUGCUAAGUCGCAAGACGAUGUAUAGGAGCUGACGCCUGCCCGGUGCUGGAAGGUUAAGGGGAUCUGUUAGAGCAAUCGAAGCAGUGAACUUAAGCCCCAGUAAACGGCGGCCGUAACUAUAACGGUCCUAAGGUAGCGAAAUUCCUUGUCGGGUAAGUUCCGACCCGCACGAAAGGCGUAACGAUUUGGGCACUGUCUCAACAACAGACUCGGUGAAAUUGUAAUUCCGGUGAAGAUGCCGGAUACCUGCGACAGGACGGAAAGACCCCAUGGAGCUUUACUGUAGCUUGACAUUGGGUCUUGGUACUACAUGUACAGGAUAGGUGGGAGGCUUUGAAACCAGGACGCCAGUUUUGGCGGAGCCAUCCUUGGGAUACCACCCUUGUAGUACUGGGACUCUAACCAUAGGCCAUGAAUCUGGUCUUGGGACACUGUCAGGUGGGCAGUUUGACUGGGGCGGUCGCCUCCCAAAAGGUAACGGAGGCGCUCAAAGGUUCUCUCAGUACGGUCGGAAAUCGUACGUAGAGUGUAAAGGCAAAAGAGAGCUUGAUUGCAAGACAUACAGGUCGAGCAAGGAUGAAAAUCGGACUUAGUGAUCCGGUGGUUCUGCGUGGAAGGGCCAUCGCUCAACGGAUAAAAGCUACCCUGGGGAUAACAGGCUUAUCUCCCCCAAGAGUCCACAUCGACGGGGAGGUUUGGCACCUCGAUGUCGGCUCAUCACAUCCUGGGGCUGUAGUAGGUCCCAAGGGUUGGGCUGUUCGCCCAUUAAAGUGGUACGCGAGCUGGGUUCAGAACGUCGUGAGACAGUUCGGUCCCUAUCCGUCGCAGGCGUAGGAAAUUUGAGAAGACCUGUCCUUAGUACGAGAGGACCGGGAUGGACGUACCUCUGGUGUACCAGUUGUCCUGCCAAGGGCAUGGCUGGGUAGCUAUGUACGGAAUGGAUAAGCGCUGAAAGCAUCUAAGCGCGAAGCCAACUUCAAGAUAAGAUUUCCCACCGCAAGGGUAAGACCCCAGAAAGACUAUCUGGUUGAUAGGUCGAAGGUGUAAGUGCAGCAAUGUAUUUAGCUUAUCGAUACUAAUAGGUCGAGGACUUGACCAAU
rnacentral:rRNA from 1 species